GAAUCAUCCCCGUUGACUUUUUUUUUUUUUUCUUGGGUGGUAAAUGGAUCAUAAAACUUGAACUUGUAACAGGUAAGUAUCGGCUACAUUUUUUUUUUCUCUCUUUCAAUCUUGGUAAGUUCAAGUCACACAUAAAUAUUUUCUUUCCACCACAAUAAUGUUCUUCCAUGCUUCUUUUCUUGAACUUCUACCAACAGGAGCCAAGUUACAUGUAAAUCAAUGUAUCUAUUUUCUCACUCCACAUUCUUACGCAAUUGUUUUGUCAUUGUGCUAAUGAACCUUUAACCUUUUUAUCAGUUAUGUAUUAGUACACUAGGAUAUCUUAAAUUAUUCCUUUUCUUUUUUUAUUUUAAAUUGAUCAUAAGACAUGAACUUCUAG
rnacentral:misc_RNA from 1 species